rnacentral:rRNA from 1 species
GAGAACUGAAAGGCUUUUUGAAGUCUUCGGAUGGAUAGAAGAACCCCUGAUGCCGUCGAGCCAAGAAAAGUUUCUAAGUUUAGCUAAUGUUGCCCGUACCGUAAACCGACACAGGUGGGUGGGAUGAGUAUUCUAAGGCGCGUGGAAGAACUCUCUUUAAGGAACUCUGCAAAAUAGCACCGUAUCUUCGGUAUAAGGUGUGGUUAGCUUUGUAUUAGGAUUUACUCCGAAAGCAAGGAAACUUACAACAAAGAGUCCCUCCCGACUGUUUACCAAAAACACAGCACUCUGCUAACUCGUAAGAGGAUGUAUAGGGUGUGACGCCUGCCCGGUGCUCGAAGGUUAAUUGAUGGGGUUAGCAUUAGCGAAGCUCUUGAUCGAAGCCCGAGUAAACGGCGGCCGUAACUAUAACGGUCCUAAGGUAGCGAAAUUCCUUGUCGGUUAAAUACCGACCUGCAUGAAUGGCGUAACGAGAUGGGAGCUGUCUCAAAGAGGGAUCCAGUGAAAUUGUAGUGGAGGUGAAAAUUCCUCCUACCCGCGGCAAGACGGAAAGACCCCGUGGACCUUUACUACAGCUUGACACUGCUACUUGGAUAAGAAUGUGCAGGAUAGGUGGGAGGCUUUGAGUAUAUGACGCCAGUUGUAUAUGAGCCAUUGUUGAGAUACCACUCUUUCUUAUUUGGGUAGCUAACCAGCUUGAGUUAUCCUCAAGUGGGACAAUGUCUGGUGGGUAGUUUGACUGGGGCGGUCGCCUCCCAAAUAAUAACGGAGGCUUACAAAGGUUGGCUCAGAACGGUUGGAAAUCGUUCGUAGAGUAUAAAGGUAUAAGCCAGCUUAACUGCAAGACAUACAAGUCAAGCAGAGACGAAAGUCGGUCUUAGUGAUCCGGUGGUUCUGUGUGGAAGGGCCAUCGCUCAAAGGAUAAAAGGUACCCCGGGGAUAACAGGCUGAUCUCCCCCAAGAGCUCACAUCGACGGGGAGGUUUGGCACCUCGAUGUCGGCUCAUCGCAUCCUGGGGCUGGAGCAGGUCCCAAGGGUAUGGCUGUUCGCCAUUUAAAGCGGUACGCGAGCUGGGUUCAGAACGUCGUGAGACAGUUCGGUCCCUAUCUGCCGUGGGCGUAAGAAGAUUGAAGAGAUUUGACCCUAGUACGAGAGGACCGGGUUGAACAAACCACUGGUGUAGCUGUUGUUCUGCCAAGAGCAUCGCAGCGUAGCUAAGUUUGGAAAGGAUAAACGCUGAAAGCAUCUAAGCGUGAAGCCAACUCUAAGAUGAAUCUUCUCUAAGCUCUCUAGAAGACUACUAGUUUGAUAGGCUGGGUGUGUAAUGGAUGAAAGUCCUUUAGCUGACCAGUACUAAUAGAGCGUUUGGCUUAUCUUUAAUAAAGCAU